GACGAACCGUGCGAACGUUGUUCGGAAUCACUGGGCUUAAAGGGCGCGUAGGCGGGCUGUCAAGUCUGGGGUGAAAUGCCGCGGCUCAACCGUGGAACUGCCUUAGAUACUGACGGCCUCGAGGAAGGUAGGGGCAUGCGGAACUGUAGGUGGAGCGGUGAAAUGCGUUGAUAUCUACAGGAACUCCGGUGGUGAAAGCGGCGUGCUGGACCUUUUCUGACGCUGAGGCGCGAAAGCUAGGGGAGCAAACGGG
rnacentral:rRNA from 1 species